rnacentral:rRNA from 1 species
GAUCCUAGCUCAGGAUGAACGCUGGCGGCGUGCUUAACACAUGCAAGUCGAACGAAGCGCUUAAAUGGAUUUCUUCGGAUUGAAGUUUUUGUGACUGAGUGGCGGACGGGUGAGUAACGCGUGGGUAACCUGCCUCAUACAGGGGGAUAACAGUUAGAAAUGACUGCUAAUACCGCAUAAGCGCACGGUGCUGCAUGGCACAGUGUGAAAAACUCCGGUGGUAUGAGAUGGACCCG